ACUAUUUUGGCAGAUUAGUGUAAUAAAAUUAGAAUUUAUAAAUGAAUUUAAUAUUCAAAUAGUA
rnacentral:tRNA from 1 species